UGGGGAAUUUUGGACAAUGGGCGCAAGCCUGAUCCAGCCAUGCCGCGUGCGGGAAGAAGGCCUUCGGGUUGUAAACCGCUUUUGUCAGGGAAGAAACGGUAGUAGCGAAUAACUACUACUAAUGACGGUACCUGAAGAAUAAGCACCGGCUAACUACGUGCCAGCAGCCGCGGUAAUACGUAGGGUGCAAGCGUUGUUCGGAUUUACUGGGCGUAAAGGGCGCGUAGGCGGUGUGUCAAGUCAGUUGUGAAAUCUCCGAGCUUAACUCGGAACGGUCAACUGAUACUGUCACACUAGAGUACAGAAGGGGCAAUCGGAAUUCUUGGUGUAGCGGUGAAAUGCGUAGAUAUCAAGAGGAACACCUGAGGCGAAGGCGGGUUGCUGGGCUGAUACUGACGCUGAGACGCGAAAGCUAGGGUAGCAAACGGGAUUAGAUACCCAAGUAGUCCCUGAGCGGGCUGGCAAGGCGCAU
rnacentral:rRNA from 1 species